rnacentral:tRNA from 1 species
GCGAGAGUGGCGGAAUUGGCAGACGCGCCGGAUUUAGGUUCCGGUGGGGCAACCCGUGGGGGUUCGAGUCCCCCCUCUCGCACCA